AACGAACGCUGGCGGCAUGCCUAACACAUGCAAGUCGAACGACACCUUCGUGUCUGGUUGCUCUUGGGUGCGUCGCGUGUGGGACCCUUCACUUAUGCUUCGGAUUCCUCCCCUAAAUGGGUGCUAAUAUCGGAUAAUUUCUUCUGAUCAAAGAUUCAUCGCGAUUGGGUGAGCCCGCGUUGUUUUAGCUUGUUGGUAUUGUAAAAGCCUAUCACGGCUAGGCUCCAUAGCUGGUCUGAGAGGAUGAGCAGCGACACUGGGACUGAGACACGGCCCAGACUACUAAGGGAGGCAGGAGAGGGGAAUAUUGGACAAUGGGGGAAAGGAUGAUCCAGCAAGGCCGGGAGAGUGAUGAAGGCCGGAGGGUUGUAAAGCUGGUUUACCCGGGAUGAUAAUGACAGUACCGGGAGAAUAAGCACCGGCUAACUCCGUG
rnacentral:rRNA from 1 species